rnacentral:rRNA from 1 species
ACUUAAAUUGAAGAGUUUGAUCAUGGCUCAGAUUGAACGCUGGCGGCAGGCCUAACACAUGCAAGUCGAACGGUAACAGGAAGCAGCUUGCUGCUUCGCUGACGAGUGGCGGACGGGUGAGUAAUGUCUGGGAAACUGCCCGAUGGAGGGGGAUAACUACUGGAAACGGUAGCUAAUACCGCAUAAUGUCGCAAGACCAAAGAGGGGGACCUUCGGGCCUCUU